UUGUCGCUGGCGGCAGGCCUAACACAUGCAAGUCGAGCGGAUGAAGGGAGCUUGCUCCUGGAUUCAGCGGCGGACGGGUGAGUAAUGCCUAGGAAUCUGCCUGGUAGUGGGGGAUAACGUCCGGAAACGGGCGCUAAUACCGCAUACGUCCUGAGGGAGAAAGUGGGGGAUCUUCGGACCUCACGCUAUCAGAUGAGCCUAGGUCGGAUUAGCUAGUUGGUGGGGUAAAGGCCUACCAAGGCGACGAUCCGUAACUGGUCUGAGAGGAUGAUCAGUCACACUGGAACUGAGACACGGUCCAGACUCCUACGGGAGGCAGCAGUGGGGAAUAUUGGACAAUGGGCGAAAGCCUGAUCCAGCCAUGCCGCGUGUGUGAAGAAGGUCUUCGGAUUGUAAAGCACUUUAAGUUGGGAGGAAGGGCAGUAAGUUAAUACCUUGCUGUUUUGACGUUACCAACAGAAUAAGCACCGGCUAACUUCGUGCC
rnacentral:rRNA from 1 species